GCGUAUAGCUCAGCUGGUUAGAGCGCCACGUUGACAUCGUGGAGGUCAUAGGUUCGAGUCCUAUUACGCCC
rnacentral:tRNA from 1 species